rnacentral:ncRNA from 1 species
GCUUGUGGCGGCUAAGCGUUCAUAGCGACGUCGCUUUUUGAUCCUUCUAUGUCGGCUCUUCCUAUCAUUGUGAAGCAGAAUUCACCAAGUGUUGGAUUGUUCGAUUAGUCUUUCGCCCCUAUACCCAGGUUGGACGACCGAUUUGCACGUCAGGACCGCUACGGACCUCCACCAGAGUUUCCUCUGGCUUCGCCCUGCCCGGGCAUAGUUCACCAUCUUUCGGGUCCUAGCACGUGCACUCAUGCUCCACCUCCCCGACGCGGCCCACUGUUGGGCCAUGAGACCUAAAAUAAGGUUUGCAAGAUAAGCA